UACGUAGGGUGCGAGCGUUAAUCGGAAUUACUGGGCGUAAAGCGCGCGUAGGCGGACCUGCAAGUCGGGGGUGAAAGCCCGAGGCUCAACCUCGGAACUGCCUUCGAUACUGCGGGUCUCGAGUCCGGGAGAGGUGAGUGGAAUUCCUAGUGUAGAGGUGAAAUGCGCAGAUAUCAGGAGGAACACCGGUGGCGAAGGCGGAUCUCUGGGCCUUACCUGACGCUGAGGCGCGAAAGCUAGGGGAGCGAACAGG
rnacentral:rRNA from 1 species